AUGCUCAAAUUCAAAGGGGUGAUCUUGAUAAUUAGGUAUGUAGAUACAUCUUCUGCUUCUGUUUGCAUCGAAGAAUCUUUCUUAGGCUUUUUGGAGGUGAAUGAUACCACUGGGCAAGGUUUGUUUAAUGAUAUAGAAGAGGAGUUGAAUAAUCUUAGCCUUGACGUGGACAAUGUGAGAGGACAGGGUUAUGAUAAUGGGUGAAAUAUGAAAGGAAACAAUAAAGGGGUACAAAAGAAAUUUCUGGACAAAUAUCCAAGGGCAUUUUAUUCAGCUUGUGGUUGUCAUAGUCUAAGUCUAGCACUA
rnacentral:rRNA from 1 species